CCUACGGGAGGCAGCAGUGGGGAAUAUUGGACAAUGGACGAAAGUCUGAUCCAGCAAUGCCGCGUGAGUGAUGAAGGCCUUAGGGUUGUAAAGCUCUUUUACCAGGGAUGAUAAUGACAGUACCUGGAGAAUAAGCUCCGGCUAACUCCGUGCCAGCAGCCGCGGUAAUACGGAGGGAGCUAGCGUUGUUCGGAAUUACUGGGCGUAAAGCGCACGUAGGCGGUUAUUCAAGUCAGAGGUGAAAGCCCGGGGCUCAAACCCCGGAACUGCCUUUGAAACUAGAUAG
rnacentral:rRNA from 1 species